AGAGAAAAGAUAUACAAAAAAAAAAAAAAACGCAGAUACAUUCUGCAAAAAAUCAGCGCCGCAAAGAACAGAAUGGAGACCCCUUCCCCUUGAACGCCUGCUUCUUCAGUAGAGAAGCACAAAACACCCCUCGAAGGAAUCCGGCGACUAUAACAUGCACAAAAGUCGUCGCCCGUCGCUGCUUUUUCUCCACCCCUUUUCACAAAGCCAAACGACCUCCACACUUUCAGAGAAUGACAGCCAUGACCGCCGGUGAGACGUCGAAGAACUCGCCGAAUCCGAUCCCGAUCUAGACAGAAACUCUCCGCUGUUGCUUUGCCUCAUCACUUUUUAGAUCUGGCCGGUUUUACCUCUGCCCGUGACCAUUUCCAUCUUCGUCUUUUAUAAAACCAGGGUCGAAAGAUGGUUUAUCUCGCUGGCCGGAUUUUGAUAUUGUGUUAUUUCGCGACUACACCUAGUUUCAGUGGUUUAUUCUGAUGUUUGUUUAAGGUUCCCGUUGAAACCCGUGGUCGACUGAGAUUCCGGUCGACGAUCUGUCCUGGUUUUGUGCUUUCUGACAUUGAAGUGCUGGUCUGAGGUUCCGCUUGCUAGUUCCGCUCAUAGUUCACGGCUCCGUUUCGGAAUUCGGCAACUUUAUUUGGUCUCUUCCUGGAAAUCCAUGUACAUGCUCUGGAUCUUCUCCGAUGUAGUUUUUUUUUUCAAAACUGGAAAUAAGAUGAAGCUGUGCUUGUUUCUAUUGUCGAUCUGUGCUCAUUUAAUUCAUUGAAGUUCAACUAGCUUUGUUGAUUAGCUAAAUCCGCACUGUAAUUAACUAGGGACUGCUGAACGAUAUUAUGAUCCAUUUGUUUUAUUUUAAUUCUGGUAGUAUGGAUUAGCUUUGUAAGUCACAUUAGUUGAAAUAUAAACUUGAGUUUGAGGCU